CGUAGGGUGCGAGCGUUAUCCGGAAUUACUGGGUUUAAAGGGUGCGUAGGCGGCUUGUUAAGUCAGGAGUGAAAGUUUGCGGCUCAACCGUAAAAUUGCUUUUGAUACUGGCAGGCUGGAAUCAGGAUGAGGUCAGCGGAAUGUGGCAUGUAGCGGUGAAAUGCAUAGAUAUGCCAUAGAACACCUAUUGCGAAGGCAGCUGGCUAGACCUGUAUUGACGCUGAGGCACGAAAGCGUGGGGAGCGAACAGGAUUAGAUACCCUGGUAGUCCACGCCCUAAACGAUGCUCACUCGACGUGCGAGGCUUGUCCUGGUGCGUCCAAGGGAAACCGUUAAGUGAGCCACCGUGGGGAGUACGACCGCAAGGUUG
rnacentral:rRNA from 1 species